rnacentral:rRNA from 1 species
GGUUAAGCGACUAAGCGUACACGGUGGAUGCCCUGGCAGUCAGAGGCGAUGAAGGACGUGCUAAUCUGCGAUAAGCGUCGGUAAGGUGAUAUGAACCGUUAUAACCGGCGAUUUCCGAAUGGGGAAACCCAGUGUGUUUCGACACACUAUCAUUAACUGAAUCCAUAGGUUAAUGAGGCGAACCGGGGGAACUGAAACAUCUAAGUACCCCGAGGAAAAGAAAUCAACCGAGAUUCCCCCAGUAGCGGCGAGCGAACGGGGAGCAGCCCAGAGCCUGAAUCAGUGUGUGUGUUAGUGGAAGCGUCUGGAAAGGCGCGCGAUACAGGGUGACAGCCCCGUACACAAAAAUGCACAUGCUGUGAGCUCGAUGAGUAGGGCGGGACACGUGGUAUCCUGUCUGAAUAUGGGGGGACCAUCCUCCAAGGCUAAAUACUCCUGACUGACCGAUAGUGAACCAGUACCGUGAGGGAAAGGCGAAAAGAACCCCGGCGAGGGGAGUGAAAAAGAACCUGAAACCGUGUACGUACAAGCAGUGGGAGCACGCUUAGGCGUGUGACUGCGUACCUUUUGUAUAAUGGGUCAGCGACUUAUAUUCUGUAGCAAGGUUAACCGAAUAGGGGAGCCGAAGGGAAACCGAGUCUUAACUGGGCGUUAAGUUGCAGGGUAUAGACCCGAAACCCGGUGAUCUAGCCAUGGGCAGGUUGAAGGUUGGGUAACACUAACUGGAGGACCGAACCGACUAAUGUUGAAAAAUUAGCGGAUGACUUGUGGCUGGGGGUGAAAGGCCAAUCAAACCGGGAGAUAGCUGGUUCUCCCCGAAAGCUAUUUAGGUAGCGCCUCGUGAAUUCAUCUCCGGGGGUAGAGCACUGUUUCGGCAAGGGGGUCAUCCCGACUUACCAACCCGAUGCAAACUGCGAAUACCGGAGAAUGUUAUCACGGGAGACACACGGCGGGUGCUAACGUCCGUCGUGAAGAGGGAAACAACCCAGACCGCCAGCUAAGGUCCCAAAGUCAUGGUUAAGUGGGAAACGAUGUGGGAAGGCCCAGACAGCCAGGAUGUUGGCUUAGAAGCAGCCAUCAUUUAAAGAAAGCGUAAUAGCUCACUGGUCGAGUCGGCCUGCGCGGAAGAUGUAACGGGGCUAAACCAUGCACCGAAGCUGCGGCAGCGACGCUUAUGCGUUGUUGGGUAGGGGAGCGUUCUGUAAGCCUGUGAAGGUGUGCUGUGAGGCAUGCUGGAGGUAUCAGAAGUGCGAAUGCUGACAUAAGUAACGAUAAAGCGGGUGAAAAGCCCGCUCGCCGGAAGACCAAGGGUUCCUGUCCAACGUUAAUCGGGGCAGGGUGAGUCGACCCCUAAGGCGAGGCCGAAAGGCGUAGUCGAUGGGAAACAGGUUAAUAUUCCUGUACUUGGUGUUACUGCGAAGGGGGGACGGAGAAGGCUAUGUUGGCCGGGCGACGGUUGUCCCGGUUUAAGCGUGUAGGCUGGUUUUCCAGGCAAAUCCGGAAAAUCAAGGCUGAGGCGUGAUGACGAGGCACUACGGUGCUGAAGCAACAAAUGCCCUGCUUCCAGGAAAAGCCUCUAAGCAUCAGGUAACAUCAAAUCGUACCCCAAACCGACACAGGUGGUCAGGUAGAGAAUACCAAGGCGCUUGAGAGAACUCGGGUGAAGGAACUAGGCAAAAUGGUGCCGUAACUUCGGGAGAAGGCACGCUGAUAUGUAGGUGAAGUCCCUUGCGGAUGGAGCUGAAAUCAGUCGAAGAUACCAGCUGGCUGCAACUGUUUAUUAAAAACACAGCACUGUGCAAACACGAAAGUGGACGUAUACGGUGUGACGCCUGCCCGGUGCCGGAAGGUUAAUUGAUGGGGUUAGCGCAAGCGAAGCUCUUGAUCGAAGCCCCGGUAAACGGCGGCCGUAACUAUAACGGUCCUAAGGUAGCGAAAUUCCUUGUCGGGUAAGUUCCGACCUGCACGAAUGGCGUAAUGAUGGCCAGGCUGUCUCCACCCGAGACUCAGUGAAAUUGAACUCGCUGUGAAGAUGCAGUGUACCCGCGGCAAGACGGAAAGACCCCGUGAACCUUUACUAUAGCUUGACACUGAACAUUGAGCCUUGAUGUGUAGGAUAGGUGGGAGGCUUUGAAGUGUGGACGCCAGUCUGCAUGGAGCCGACCUUGAAAUACCACCCUUUAAUGUUUGAUGUUCUAACGUUGACCCGUAAUCCGGGUUGCGGACAGUGUCUGGUGGGUAGUUUGACUGGGGCGGUCUCCUCCUAAAGAGUAACGGAGGAGCACGAAGGUUGGCUAAUCCUGGUCGGACAUCAGGAGGUUAGUGCAAUGGCAUAAGCCAGCUUGACUGCGAGCGUGACGGCGCGAGCAGGUGCGAAAGCAGGUCAUAGUGAUCCGGUGGUUCUGAAUGGAAGGGCCAUCGCUCAACGGAUAAAAGGUACUCCGGGGAUAACAGGCUGAUACCGCCCAAGAGUUCAUAUCGACGGCGGUGUUUGGCACCUCGAUGUCGGCUCAUCACAUCCUGGGGCUGAAGUAGGUCCCAAGGGUAUGGCUGUUCGCCAUUUAAAGUGGUACGCGAGCUGGGUUUAGAACGUCGUGAGACAGUUCGGUCCCUAUCUGCCGUGGGCGCUGGAGAAUUGAGGGGGGCUGCUCCUAGUACGAGAGGACCGGAGUGGACGCAUCACUGGUGUUCGGGUUGUCAUGCCAAUGGCACUGCCCGGUAGCUAAAUGCGGAAGAGAUAAGUGCUGAAAGCAUCUAAGCACGAAACUUGCCCCGAGAUGAGUUCUCCCUGACUCCUUGAGAGUCCUGAAGGAACGUUGAAGACGACGACGUUGAUAGGCCGGGUGUGUAAGCGCAGCGAUGCGUUGAGCUAACCGGUACUAAUGAACCGUGAGGCUUAACCUU